rnacentral:rRNA from 1 species
AGGACGAACGCUGGCGGCGUGCUUAACACAUGCAAGUCGAGCGGAAAGGCCCUUCGGGGUACUCGAGCGGCGAACGGGUGAGUAACACGUGAGUAAUCUGCCCCUAGCUCUGGGAUAGCUCCGGGAAACCGGGAUUAAUACCGGAUACGACCACCUUAGACAUCUUUUGUGGUGGAAAGAAUUUCGGCUAGGGAUGAGCUCGCGGCCUAUCAGCUUGUUGGUGGGGUAACGGCCUACCAAGGCGACGACGGGUAGCCGGCCUGAGAGGGCGACCGGCCACACUGGGACUGAGACACGGCCCAGACUCCUACGGGAGGCAGCAGUGGGGAUAUUGCGCAAUGGGCGAAAGCCUGACGCAGCGACGCCGCGUGGGGGAUGAAGGCCUUCGGGUUGUAAACCCCUUUCAGCAGGGACGAAGCGAAAGUGACGGUACCUGCAGAAGAAGCGCCGGCUAACUACGCGCCAGCAGCCGC